rnacentral:lncRNA from 1 species
UCCAAACCAGGCUUUCUCAAUUUCACCAUCCUCACCUCCCCACAGCACAUCUGAGGCCCAUCUGGAGAAUGGUUACCAGAGGCUGGGAAGGGUAGUGGGAGAUUGAGGGGAGGUGGGGAUAGUUGAACUCUCGUGAGUUCAAUUGUUUUCAUUUUUAGAGCCCACAAAUAACUAAGAACAUGCAAUGUUUGUCUUUCUGUUCCUGGCUUAUUUCGCUUAACAUAAUGAUCUUCAGCUUCAUCCAUGAAGUCCUGCAACAUUUUCGGUGCCCAAUGUGGGGCUCAAAAAGCGGCCAUCAGACUCCAAACAGUUAUGCAACUGGAGCCUCCUGAGGAUGACCCCUUCUGCCUGGGACCCUUAGAUCAGCCUCUAGAGAAGCUUUGACUGCUGUUUCCCCAAAACAGCACCCCCUGCCAUCAGGAAGCAAGACUGGCUACCUGUCUUCCUGGCUUCCUUUGUAGUGAGGGGUAGCCAUGUGGCUGAAUUCUGGCCAAAGCCUUUCAGGCCCAUUUCUCCUCCCUCCUCCCUGCCAGCUGGAUGCAGAGGACUCCAAGAUUCAUGGGAGGAUGGAGACCUAUUUUGAUAGAGCUUGGGUCCCUGAAUGAUUAUGGGCUUUUGGCCUGAGUGAGAAGUGAACAUAUAUUAUAUUAAGCCUUUGAUUUUUGUGAUUUAUUUUCAAUAGCAUCUAGCAUUAACUUAAUGAAUAAACAUCCUCAAUUUCUGUUGAAUUUAAAAUUUGAAAAAUAGGCAAUAUAGUCACAUUGUUCAAAAAUCAAAACAAUAUAAAAGCCACACAUUGACACUCUCACUUCCACUCUAUUCUGUCCACCGUGCUCCAUGCUCUCGUUUCCCAGCCCUAUGGUGAACUACUUUAACAGUUUCUUGGAUCUCUUUCCAAUGUUUGUUUAUGUAUAUAAUACAAAAAGUACAUGUCAAUGAUGUAUAUGAAUAUGUUCUUUUCUUCCCUUCAUAGCUCAAAGGUAGCAUACUAUUCAGACUGUUUUGUAUUUUGCUUCUUUUGCAUGACAAAAUCUCCUGAUGACCUUUCCAUUGUGGUGUAUAAAAGACUUCUC